UUACUACAGUUCAAUACGGAUUCAGCUUGAAUGUAAAACCUGAUUUUAAAUUCAAAAUGAUACUUCAACUAUUUCUGGUUCUCUUUUACAAACGAAGUUAAAUCUAAACUAAAAGUACUAGCUAUGUAUAAAUUCUAACUGGACGACUCCAAGUUUAAACAACCCAAAACAAUGGCUAAGUGAUGCGCAUGCAUACUAAAAUUUAACAUGACAUGAUCAACACAAGCUCAACCAAAAUAAACUGCUAACUCUACAUUUAUUGCUUCCAGGAACACUUGUAAUGAGUUUAACAGUCUACCAUUUAUCAAUCAGUAAUUCAAUACAGUCCUAAAAUGAACAUGAAUAUAUAAUCGAAUAUUUAAAGCUACAACAACUUUCAACACAUUCCAUUGAACAGAUGGCAAUUCAUUGUUAUUGAUUUUCCAAAUCACUCAUACAUUUGAACCAAGUCUCCACACCAUUUGGGAUAGGAAAGUGUACCUGGUAGAAGAACAGAGAUACAGUAGAAGAGAAGUCAGCAGCAGUAGCAGUAGUACAGCAGCAGAUUCAGCAAAACACAACAGCAACCAAAAAAGCCCAGCAAUAGAUUAAGACCCAACAGUCGCUUCAGAAAAACACCAUACAUUAAUACUAAAUCCACCAGAAAUUCCCAGCAUGCGACCCCAAUACCCAACAGCAAUAUAAACCACCACAGUAUGACCCAAACUUGAGUUUUCAACAAGAGAUAGACCAGCAGACUCAAAAAGACCCAAUAAAACAACACCAGCUGCAGUCCUGAGAUUCGAAGAUGCAACAGAAAAGACCUCUUUUAUCUCUCAAAAUACUCUUUUAGCUCUGGGAAAUUAGCUCAACUUUCAGCCUAUUUCAACUCAAUAUCUUCUGACUUCUGAAGGUUCAGAAAAAAAUCAGCAGCUAAGAGCUUUUAAAAAUUCUGAAAUCUUAGUGUUUAUCCCCCCUCUAUUGUUCUAAAUGAACCUAUUUAUAGGCCAAAAGGGCAAGCACCAGGCUGCCUCUUCAACUUUGCCCAUACCCCUUAAAACUAAUCAGAAAUGCCCAUCCUCCUGACAGUCCAUAUCAUGUGUUUUCUGCCCAAAAGGUAUGGGCAGCCUAUAAUAUUCAAUUACCCCAUGCUAUCAAGUUUUGUUCCCCACUAGUAAUAAAUAAUUGUAGUAAUUUAAUCACAUUUCAGUACCCUACUUUCAGCCUCUUAAACUAACCAAUAUGUGAACUUUUCAAUCCCAAACUACCCCUUUAACCCCUGUGUAUUACUGUUUUACCCUAAGCUUCAACAGACUGAAAUUUGAACUUAUGGAAGUUCAAACUCAACAACUGCCCUAAUGCUGAGUUCUAUCUAUUCCUCUAAUUGCACUGCAGCUACAAACCAUUCACAGAUAAUUUCAAACAAUCAACUAAACUACAAUGGUUCGAUCAAUCAUAUGAAGCUAUACGAAUCAGAAUAUUUGAACAUUCAGUCCUGUAAAACUAAUCGACAAUGUUUAUCUAAUCGACUAUAGUAAUUAUAACAUAGAACAAUCAGUCGAUAAACAAAUAACACGAACAGGGCCCCAAAUGGCUUCAGACAGCUUUGCACAAAACAGAGGAACAACGUGAAUGAAACACUUGACGACACUGAUCAAAUCGAGUAUGUAUCUCACCAUACGUAUUUAACAAUAAACAGAAGAAUAGUCGACCAAAUAAAAGGUCUUAUGAAGAUGGAAAUAAUUGACAGAAAAUACCAGCAAAAUCAACAAAUUAACUAAACAUGUUAACAAACACAAACAACAUUCAAACAAGAACAGAAAGGAAAAAGAAAACUUACUUUGGAAGUUCAACAACAAACGACCCAGGUCUGACUGGAUUUGACCAUUUGAGGUCGA
rnacentral:lncRNA from 1 species